rnacentral:sRNA from 1 species
UGCAUUUGUAGCCCAUGAGGAUGAGAACCUCCGGGGGCGGGGAGGUUCGACUCGAGCGAAGCGAGAGAACGUUGCGCCAGCAACGGCCCGCAGGGCGAGCCACGAAGUGGCGAGUAAUCCUCUAUCACCGACCA